UCUGUCUUAAGUGUCUUAAGUGUUUGCUUUUGUGGGCAAUUAAUCGUUCGGCUAGGGUUGGCGCUGGGGGGAGGGGGUUCGCCGUUCGGGAGGGAGGCGAGUGAGGUGGGAGCAGAUGGCGGCAGAAUACCAGUGUUCCAGUCGACGUUUACAUUCUGAAAAGCGUAUAUACGGCGUUAGCGCGUAGCUAACUACCUAGCUAAAACUAUAUACGGCGUUAGCACGUGGCUAACUAGCUAGCUAACACUAUACACGGCGUUAGCACGUAGCUAACGAGCUAACGUUAGUUAAAACUCCCGGUGUAAAAAUAAAAAAAUGUUCUUGUGACUUAUAGAUAGUGGAAUAAAUAUUACUGGUACUGUGGUGUUUACUGUGCUAUUGUACUGUGUGUUAUUGCUUACUGUGCUGUAUUUUCUCGUUUUGGUAAAGCUAAACUGACCUGUGUAAUAAUUAAGCAACUGAAAUAAUGUUUUGUCAGGUAUUUUAUUUCAUAGGCAUAGUAAAUCCGAUUUAAAAAGAACAGAAGGCAUAAUAAUGUUUUGUCAUUUUUAAACUGUAUUAAGAUGUAGUUCAUGUAACAUUGAGAAUAUCCAUCAUUAAAACGUUUUUUUCUCUUAAUUUAAGGAGAGCUGCCACAAGAUCCACUGUGUUCCUGCUGUGCAACCACCAGUUUGGAAGUCCCUCAUCUUAUUGUAUUAUCCAUGUAUGUGGAAAUGUAAACUACAGAAAAACAACAACCGUCAAACAAUAAAAGAAAAGAUGGCAAAGACGUUUGGAUACCGUAGACAAGAAAAAGUGCAUAAGCAGCCGAGCAUUGAAGACAUGUUGACAAGAUGGCCAGCACUUUUUCAGAUGGAAGAGAUUAAUGCUGAGUUCAUGCGGGUGACAACAGUACCCUUGGAGACAAAGUUCUUAGCGCAGUUGGACAAGCACACGUCAAAACUGCUGGAGGUCAUCAGGAGCAAGGGAGGGCGUGUGAAAGAGCUGACCAAGGCAACUUUGCAGGUUUUAGAUGAGACCGUGGACAUCACAAUUAGAAGAGAGUGCAUCUUCAAAUCUUUGAUCAGCUACCU